GACGAACGCUGGCGGCGCGCCUAACACAUGCCAGUCGAACGAGCGAGCGAGAGCUUGCUUUCUCGAGCGAGUGGCGAACGGGUGAGUAACGCGUGAGGAACCUGCCUCAAAGAGGGGGACAACAGUUGGAAACGACUGCUAAUACCGCAUAAGCCCACGACCCGGCAUCGGGUAGAGGGAAAAGGAGCAAUCCGCUUUGAGAUGGCCUCGCGUCCGAUUAGCUAGUUGGUGAGGUAACGGCCCACCAAGGCGACGAUCGGUAGCCGGACUGGGAGGCUGAACGGCCACAUUGGGACUGAGACACGGCGCAGAAUCCUACGGGAGGCAGGAGUGGGGAAUAUUGCCAAAUGGCGGAAACCCUGAUGCAGCGACGCCGCGUGGAGGAAGAAGGUGUUCGGAUAGUAAACUCCUGUUGUUGAGGAAGAUAAUGACGGUACUCAACAAGGAAGUGACGGCUAACUACGUG
rnacentral:rRNA from 1 species